rnacentral:rRNA from 1 species
UACGGGGGAGCAAGCGUUGUUCGGAUUUACUGGGCGUAAAGGGCGCGUAGGCGGCCACCGCAAGUCGACUGUGAAAUCUCCGGGCUUAACCCGGAAAGGUCAACCGAUACUGCGGGGCUAGAGUGCAGAAGGGGCACCGGAAUUCUCGGUGUAGCGGUGAAAUGCGUAGAUAUCGAGAGGAACACCUGCGGCGAAGGCGGGUUGCUGGGCUGACACUGACGCUGAGGCGCGAAAGCUAGGGGAGCGAACGGG